rnacentral:rRNA from 1 species
UCCAGCCACAACACUGCAGGCUGUGAUCACAUUGGAUCUUACAAGAUAAAUAGGAUUCGGCUUGUUUGGUAUUUUGAUGAGAGAUCUCCAAGAAACAUCUAGACGUGGCAGGAA